rnacentral:tRNA from 1 species
GGUGGCUCAAGAUACAGAGCACCUGCUUUCCAUGCAUGAGGUCCUAGGUUCAAGUCUUGGCACCA